CCUACGGGGGGCUGCAGUCGAGGAUCUUCGGCAAUGGGCGCAAGCCUGACCGAGCGACGCCGCGUGUGGGAUGAAGGCCCUUGGGUUGUAAACCACUGUCGAGGGGAAUGAAAUGCGUGAGAGCUAUCUCUUGCGUUUGACGGAACCCUGGAGGAAGCACGGGCUAAGUUCGUGCCAGCAGCCGCGGUAAUACGAACUGUGCGAACGUUAUUCGGAAUCACUGGGCUUAAAGGGUGCGUAGGCGGCUUGUUAAGCAGGGUGUGAAAGCCCUCGGCUCAACCGAGGAAUAGCGCUCUGAACUGGCGAGCUGGAGUGAGGCAGGGGUGCGCGGAACUUCCAGUGGAGCGGUGAAAUGUGUUGAUAUUGGAAGGAACACCGGAGGCGAAAGCGGCGCACUGGGCCUUGUCUGACGCUGAGGCACGAAAGCCAGGGGAGCAAACGGGAUUAGAUACCCCUGUAGUC
rnacentral:rRNA from 1 species